rnacentral:rRNA from 1 species
GACGAACCGUGCAAACGUUGUUCGGAAUCACUGGGCUUAAAGGGCGCGUAGGCGGGUUCCCAAGUCGGUGGUGAAAUCUUUCGGCCCAACCGGAAAAGUGCCGCCGAUACUGGGAGUCUUGAGGGAGGUAGGGGUCGGGGGAACUGGUGGUGGAGCGGUGAAAUGCGUAGAUAUCACUAGGAACGCCGGUGGCGAAAGCGCCCGACUGGACCUCUUCUGACGCUGAGGCGCGAAAGCCCAGGGGAGCAAACGGG